CCUACGGGGGGCAGCAGUAGGGAAUCUUCCACAAUGGGCGAAAGCCUGAUGGAGCAACGCCGCGUGGGUGAAGAAGGUCUUCUGAUCGUAAAACCCUGUUGUUAGAGAAGAAAGUUCGUGCGAGUAACUGUUCACGUUUCGACGGUAUCUAACCAGAAAGCCACGGCUAACUACGUGCCAGCAGCCGCGGUAAUACGUAGGUGGCAACCGUUAUCCGGAUUUAUUGGGCGUAAAGGGAACGCAGGCGGUCUUUUAAGUCUGAUGUGAAAGCCUUCGGCUUAACCGGAGUAGUGCAUUGGAAACUGGCAGACUUGAGUGCAGAAGAGGAGAGUGGAACUCGAGGUGUAGCGGUGAAAUGCGUAGAUAUAUGGAAGAACACCAGUGGCGAAAGCGGCUCUCUGGACUGUAACUGACGCUGAGGUUCGAAAGCGUGGGUAGCAAACAGGAUUAGAUACCCGAGUAGUC
rnacentral:rRNA from 1 species